rnacentral:rRNA from 1 species
CGGCGGCUGACUGACCAUGCAGUCGAACGGCAGCACGGGGGCAACCCUGGUGGCGAGUGGUGAACGGGUGAGUAAUACAUCGGAACGUGUCCUGCAUUGGGGGAUAGCCCGGCGAAAGCCGGAUUAAUACCGCAUACCCUCUACGGAGGAAAGGGGGGGAUCUUACGACCUCCCGCUACAGGGGCGGCCGAUGGGACAUUAUCUAUCUGGUGGGUUAAAGGCCUACCAAGGCGACGAUUUGUAGCUGGUCUGAGAGGACGACCAGCCACACUGGGACUGAGACACGGCCCAGACUCCUACGGGAGGCAUCAGUGGGGAAUUUUGGACAAUGGGCGAAAGCCUGAUCCAGCAAUGCCGCGUGUGUGAAAAAGGCCUUCGGGUUGUAAAGCACUUUUGUCCGGAAAGAAAACCUCCGCCCUAAUAUGGUGCUCGGGAUGAUCGUACCGGAAGACGGCCCGGUGAUCAACGGCUGAACCCCUCCUUAAUAAUACGUAGGGUGCAAGCGUUAAUCGGAAUUACUGGGCGUAAAGCGUGCGCAGGCGGUCCGCUAAGACAGAUGUGAAAUCCCCGGGCUUAACCUGGGAACUGCAUUUGUGACUGGCGGGCUAGAGUAUGGCAGAGGGGGGUAGAAUUCCACGUGUAGCAGUGAAAUGCGUAGAGAUGUGGAGGAAUACCGAUGGCGAACGGCAGCCCCCUGGGCCCAAUACUGACGCUCAUGCACGAAAGCGUGGGGAGCAAACAGGAUUAGAUACCCUGGUAGUCCACGCCCUAAACGAUGUCAACUAGUUUGUAUGGGGAUUCAUUUCCUUAGUAACGUAGCUAACGCGUGAAGUUGACCGCCUGGGGAGUACGGUCGCAAGAUUAAAACUCAAAGGAAUUGACGGGGACCCGCACAAGCGGUGGAUGAUGUGGAUUAAUUCGAUGCAACGCGAAAAACCUUACCUACCCUUGACAUGUAUGGAAUCCUGCUGAGAGGUGUGAUUGCCCGAAAGGGAGCCAUAACACAGCUGCUGCAUGGCUGUCGUCAGCUCGUGUCGUGAGAUGUUGGGUUCAGUCCCGCCACGAGCGCAACCCUUGUCCGUGUCUGUUACGCACGAGCUCUUUAGGGAGACUGCCGGUGACAAACCGGAGGAAGGUGGGGAGGACGUCAAGUCCUCAUGGCCAUUAUGGGUAGGGCUUCGCAGGUCAUACAAUGGUAGGAACAGAGGGUCGCCAACCCGCGAGGGGGAGCCAAUCCCAGAUAGCCGAUCGUAUUCCGGAUCGCACUGUGCAACUUCAGUGCGUGCAGCUGGAAUCGCGCGUAAUCGCGGUUCAGCAUGACGCGGUGAGUACGUGCCCGGGUCUUGUACACACCGCCCGUCACACCAUGGGAGUGGGUUUUACCAGAAGGGGCUAGUCUAACCGCAAGGAGGACGGUCACCACCGUAGGAUUCAUGAGCUCGGGCGAAGUCGAACAUCGUG